rnacentral:lncRNA from 1 species
GCUCCUCAAGUGCCACCAAAGUGGGAGCCCAGGCAGAGGAGGCACCGAGAGCGAGUGAGGACUGUGAGGACUGCCAACACGCUGUCACCUCUCACUAUCUUAACAAAAGGAUCCUGAGCUGUGCUGCUGGAAUGGGCUCUGAUGGAAACCUGGCUGGUGGUGGAUGGGUCCCUCAUGAGCAUGGAGAAGGCAAUGAAGCAACUGGAAGUGCAGAGAACUGAGAAGGAGCGAGCUUUUGCCUGCAGAUUUCGAUGGGCAUUUUUGACUGUGCUACAAGAAGUACACACCCAGUUCCUGAAGGAUGCAGUGCAGAUGAGGAAGUAGAGGUGCAGAGACCAGGGAAAAAGGUCAAGAUCUCAAUGCUAACAGAUCAUGGGUGAGGCUGUGAAAACAGAGAAACCAUGUGUUAUGUGACAGGAUGCUCCUCUGAAGACUGACGAUGUUACUUGGGAUUUAAGACAGAUACACCAUGAAAUAGCUGUUGAAUGUCUGCCUUGUGUAUUAUCCUAUGCUCCGUGCUCAAAUAGAGUGAGAAAAGAUACAGACGGAUGCCUGCCUUCAUGGAGCUUAUAGUUUCUAUGGGGAAA